UACGGAGGGGGCUAGCGUUGUUCGGAAUUACUGGGCGUAAAGCGCACGUAGGCGGCUUUGCAAGUCAGAGGUGAAAGCCCGGGGCUCAACCCCGGAAUUGCCUUUGAGACUGCAUCGCUAGAAUUGUGGAGAGGUAAGUGGAAUUCCGAGUGUAGAGGUGAAAUGCGUAGAGAUGUGGAGGAACACCGAUGGCGAAGGCAGCCCCCUGGGUUAACACUGACGCUCAGGCACGAAAGCGUGGGGAGCAAACAGG
rnacentral:rRNA from 1 species